rnacentral:rRNA from 1 species
UUUAUGGUUCCUUAGAUUGUACAUCAGUUACUUGGAUAACUGUGGUAAUUCUAGAGCUAAUACAUGCAAACUGAGUCCCGACUCUUAAAAAGGGAAGGGAUGCUUUUAUUAGAUCAAAACCAAUGAGGCCUUAGGGUCUGAAUACCUUGGUGACUCUGAAUAACUCUUGUGUGCUGAUCGCAUGGUCAAGUACCGGCGACGCAUCUUUCAAAUGUCUGCCUUAUCAACUUACGAUGGUAGGUUCGGCGCCUACCAUGGUUGUAACGGGUAACGGGGAAUUAGGGUUCGAUUCCGGAGAGGGAGCCUGAGAGACAGCUACCACAUCCAAGGAAGGCAGCAGGCGCGCAAAUUACCCACUCCCAGCACGGGGAGGUAGUGACGAAAAAUAACGAUGCAGAACUCUUUCCGAGGCUCUGCAAUCGGAAUGAGUACACUCUAAAUCAUUUAACAAGUAUCCAUUGGAGGGUAAGUCUGGUGCCAGCAGCCGCGGUAAUUCCAGCUCCAAUAGCGUAUAUUAAAGUUGUUGCGGUUAAAAAGCUCGUAGUUGGAUUUGUGUUUCACUCUGUCGGUUCGUUGCCCGUCAGCGUUUAACUGGCAUGUAAGUGAAACGUCCAGCCGGUUGGCGGGGUUGUUCUGCUUAAAGUUUCCAACCUCGUCGUUUUUAAUCCUAUCGGGGUGCUCUUUAUUGAGUGUCUCGGUAGGCCGGCACGUUUACUUUGAACAAAUUUGAGUGCUUAAAGCAGGCUUCGUACUGCCUGAAAAUUGUUUGCAUGGAAUAAUAAAAUAAGACCUCGGUUCUAUUUUGUUGGUUUUCGGAGCCCGAGGUAAUGAUUAAUAGGGACAGGCGGGGGCAUUAGUAUUGCGACGUUAGAGGUGAAAUUCUUGGAUCGUCGCAAGACUGACCUAAGCGAAAGCAUUUGCCAAGGAUGCUUCCAUUAAUCAAGAACGAAAGUUAGAGGUUCGAAGGCGAUCAGAUACCGCCCUAGUUCUAACCAUAAACGAUGCCAGCCAGCGAUCCGCCGAAGUUCCUCCGAUGACUCGGCGGGCAGCUUUCCCGGAAACUAGAGCAUUUAGGUUCCGGGGGAAGUAUGGUUGCAAAGCUGAAACUUAAAGGAAUUGACGGAAGGGCACCACCAGGAGUGGAGCCUGCGGCUUAAUUUGACUCAACACGGGAAACCUCACCAGGCCCAGACACUGGAAGGAUUGACAGAUUGACAGCUCUUUCUUGAUUCAGUGGGUGGUGGUGCAUGGCCGUUCUU